ensembl:lncRNA
UUGACCUUAACUCAAAAUUGAAUGAGAGAAGCCACAUCAAGUGAGGGGAAAGAGCAUGAGUUGAACAGCCUGUGUAAGUGUUAAAAUUAAUGUCUAAUACUUUAAGUAUUAUUUUUAUAUAGUUUAUUAUCUGACAAAAUAGAACCAUGUGAAGAAAUUAAUCUACCUGCUUAAAAGGCCUGUUCCAUCAAAAUCACAACACAGGAAGGAAAAAAAAGCUAGCCAGGAACUCCACCCAAUUUAUCUCCUGUCUACAUCAGCACUUAACAAAAUGAAGUGAGUGGGCACCUGGGAAUUGUAGUUUUGCUAGGGAUCAUAGUUUAUAGGGUAACAGAUUCUAAUUUCACACCUGGCAACCAUAGUGUUAUAAUACCAAUGUGACUCUCAGUCACAUGCUUCUGUCAAUCACUCUGAUGUAUGCACCACUCAGUUUGUUGCAAAACGCUCUUUCCCUAUCACAAUAGACAGCAGAAUAGGAGAAGAUAGCAGAUAGGAGAAGCUGACUGGAUUUAGGGAAAACACAGAAGGAACAGCAUAGAGGAGUAAUUUGGCAUGAACUUCCAAAUGGCAUGAUGGUUCCAGUACCAUCCAAAAAGGAUAAUUACUCCAGGGUAUCACUAACUCCUGAAGGGAAAGAAAUUUUAAGAAUCACACAGCAUUAGACUCUCAGCUGUCUCAUGGUGCACCUCAGUCUGAACUAAACUGUAGCCUUCUCCAAGAAAGUGAACUGUUUGGAGAAGACACCAUUAAGAUGCCUGCACAGACCAUAAGCUGCAGCAGAAGAUCCAGAGUGAACUUUGGGAUGUGAUGAUUCGAACUGUGUGGGGUUGAAUGCAUUUGUUUUACACUGUGAGUCUUUUCUUGGAAGAAGAUGAGACAUCCAUACCAAGGAAAACAAACUAAGCAACUUGAAUUCAAGGAAGAGAACCCCAAACCAGAUGCUGAGGAUGAGAAGAUUGCUCCUGGAGAUGAAAGUGAUCAGAGAGGUUCUCUGUUUUUGGUCACUGAAAAUCAAGUUGGUCACAACAUUUGAGCAAUCUUGGAUGCUUUUGGGGUAAAAUGUGCCUUUGGGUGAUGGAGACUGUCCAUUAACAGUUAGUACCAUGAAGACUGAUAUACUACCAGACAGAGAAAAAGAGGAGGAGAAAGAGAAGGAAGAAAAUAUGCCAAUUUCAACAGAUGCACUAGGACAAGAGUCAUGGGGAAGAGAUUCUGUGAAAGUCACAAAGUGUGAAAGAAAAUAAAUAAUAUUUCUCAUAGCUCCU